AACGAACGCUGGCGGCAUGCCUAACACAUGCAAGUCGAACGAGACCUUCGGGUCUAGUGGCGCACGGGUGCGUAACGCGUGGGAACCUGCCCUUAGGUUCGGAAUAACUCCCCGAAAGGGGUGCUAAUACCGGAUAAUGUCUUCGGACCAAAGAUUUAUCGCCUUUGGAUGGGCCCGCGUUGGAUUAGCUAGUUGGUAGGGUAAAAGCCUACCAAGGCGACGAUCCAUAGCUGGUCUGAGAGGAUGAUCAGCCACUCUGGGACUGAGACACGGCCCAGACUCCUACGGGAGGCAGCAGUGGGGAAUAUUGGACAAUGGGCGAAAGCCUGAUCCAGCAAUGCCGCGUGAGUGAUGAAGGCCUUAGGGUUGUAAAGCUCUUUUACCCGGGAUGAUAAUGACAGUACCGGGAGAAUAAGCUCCGGCUAACUCCGUG
rnacentral:rRNA from 1 species